rnacentral:lncRNA from 1 species
CAACAACAACUUGAAUCCAGCUUCAACAACCGACAACUUCAACUCUCAACAUAAAACACAACACCAAUACUCCAAUAUCAAAAUAAAAAAAAAUUAACGCGAAACAACAACAACCAAUGCAUCAAUAACAGUAAUUUCAAAACAACAGUAAAUCAAGUCAACAAAGACAACUAUUAAUCUGGAUUUUCUCAAAAUCGUUCGAUCUGAUAUGAACACGGACGAUCAUGAUUAUUCAUUUUUAAAUUUCAAAUUUUUCAUCCUCAAUUUCUUAUUUGUUUCCUCCUUAAAAUCAGUCCAAAACCUCCUAUAAGUACCCAUUGAAGAACAAAAGGGAGGGAGGAGGAUUUUGAGCAAAAAUUUGAGGAUUCGGGAGGUGCGUGCUUCUAAUCCUACACAAUCAAAAAUCCUAAAAGAAAUAGACUCAAAAACUCGAUUAAAAAAGAUUAAACUCUGAAGGAUCGGGAUUCAAACUCCGGUGGUGAAAGUCCAUCGCCAAGGUUCGUUUGUCCUAGUUUGCUGCCCUAAAAAAGGUGAAUACUUCAUCCUCUUUUACAUUUUCUUAUAUUUGUGUGUAAAAAAGAAAAAAUUCAAACUUAACUUUAUGGCGAAUGCCGUGUUGGCAUGCGAUUUUUUUUAUUUUUUAUUUUUUACUUUUUGAAAUUGGUCUUGUUUGAAUUCAAAACGGCCAUCGAUGUUAGUCUAAAAUUCUUCAAUUUUUGGUAAUAUUUGUUGAGGAAGAUUAAAAAUAAGAAAAAUUCACAAAACGAUUUGAAGGGUCGUUGCACAGGCAAACUCUAAGAUUUGUUUGAUUAAAUCAUUCUUGUUCUCUAAAAUUUUCUGAGUAGGAUCUCACUUAACCCUUUCUAGUGGAUAAGGAAAAUUAAUUUUUGGAAGCAAUACUGUGUCAACAAUAUUCCUUGUUAAUGACUUGUACUUAUCACGCCACAUAGUACCAAGGUGGUACUCUUCAAUAGGGUUGUCAACAGAGGUGUAAGCAUACUUAACAAGUAGAUUAAUGUCCAAGUUAAAAUUGACUGCAACAAGAAGAUUAUUUCUUAUAGCAUUACAAAAUUUGGGGAAGACAUGAAUUUCACCGGCAGUGAAUGAGUACUCCAUUUGAUGGAAACAAAUCAAAGGCUAAAUUUAUGUUGGUAAUAAAAAUAAGUUUGCCAUUGGAGUACUCUACUCGUGUAUUUUUUUUUUCCAUCCUUGUCCGGUGCCCGCAUUGGAACCCCGACUAAUCCGAAUCGCGCGUUGCAUGGCCAUUAAGGUGGCAGCUCUCCUAACAGAGUUUUCUUCAUACCUAGAGUCGAACCAAAUCCUACCCCAAAAGAAUAAUAUUAAAGAAGUUUCCAUAUUCAAAAUGUAUGUAUUUCAUAUUCAUUAGAUAUUUUCUAACGAGAUGUCUAAGAGUGCCUUAAAAUUCUAAAUAAGAACAUCAACUGUUGUUUUGAAGUAAUAAAUUAAAUGCAAAGAAAUAUUCAUUGGUGGUUCCAUAUUCAUACUUUUAUCAUUUUUAAAAUAUCUUUCAUAUUAGACAAAAUAAAAAAUUUAAUUAUUUUCUAAUAUUUGCUAUUUAUCUACUAAAAUUUUGGCUUUUUGGGGGAAUAAAAAUUUUGGUUAUCUGAAUAAGGUAGGAAAUUUAAAAUUUAGAACUUUAAAAUAACUUAUAGUUUUACCAUAUAUAUAAUUAAUCCUACUAAGCAAUCUCAUUAUAUUCUGAUUUUAGUAUAUUCAUAGAAAUAGUAAUUAUUUCACAAAACACAUUUGGUACAUAUUAAGAAUUAUAUACAACUAAUUUAAGUAAUUACUUAUUAAAUUUUUCAUGCAACUAUAAUUGAAUCAUUGGAUGGACAUAAUAGUCCGUCAAACAUUACUAAAAGCAUAUAUAAUGAAUUAUGGAACAUUUUGGUCUGAUGUGUAAAUAGCUAAUGCAUAACAAAAUAAUUUUCAACUCGAUUAUAUUAUUCAUAAAAUUUAUAUGAUUUUUUAAAAGUAAUGUUCAUUAUAUAAUGUACGAACAAAAAAAUAAUCUAAGUUUUUGAUGAAGUCCUAAAUUUUGGAUUUUAAAGUCGCUUAGAUUUUAUCUCGUGUAAAUUAUUUUUCUUUAGAGCUUUUGUGUUAAUUAAAAUAAAAAUUAUUAAAUAUGUUUAAUAAUCGCGCUAGAUUGUAGGUGUGAGACACAUCUAUAUCUAUAAUCUAUAAUUAUUUAUAAUUUAUAUUUAUAAUUUAUAAUAUAUUAAAAGUGUGAAGUCCCUUAGAAAAGUGAUUUGAACAUUUUACCCUUCAUUAAAAACUCCAUAAUUGACAAAACUGUCAUUUACUAUUAUAUUAUAUAUAAAAAGUUCAAAUCACUUCUCUAAGGGUCUUCACACUUUUAAUAUAUCAUAGAUUAUAAAUAUAAAUAGAUAUAAAUUAUAAAUAUAGAUAUAGAUAUAUAGUCAUUUGAAUAUAAUACAUUCAGUUAUAUGCUCGUGUAAAGAACUUUUGUCUAAAUUUAAGAUUUAAAGCUAAUUCUUAUUAAUACAUGAAAACAGAAGUAUUAUAUUGUUACCCGUACUUUGCACACGAUAUACCUUUAUAUGAUUUGGUCAUCCGAAUGUAGGUUAUGAUUAUGAUACUUAAUUAUUUUAAAUUGAAUAAUUAAAAUCUUAAAUUACAAUGACAUGUUUAAGAAGACUGCUUGAAUAUGAUAAAGUCCAAUUUCAAAUUACAUUCUAUUAAGGGUGUGUUCGGUAAGAAGGAAAACAUAUUUUUAAAAAUGUUUUUUGAUUUUCGUGUUUGAUUGACUAAAAUAUGUUUGGAACGUAUUUUUCAGAUAUACUUAUUUUUCUCAAAUUUACAGAAAAUGAGGGUAUAGAAAUUAGGAAUUGGAUCUCAAAUCGAGGUCGAAAGUUAAGUCCUGAGUUGGGAUCUCCGGUAGAGUGUCGAAUUUGGUGAUCAAGCUCAACUCUAGAGUGGGGUUCAUGUCGAGGUUGGGUCCCGGGUUUGGUUUGGAGUAAGGAGUUGGAUAUUAAGGUUUGGAAUUAGUCAUGAUUCAGGAUACAGAUCAAGUACCAUAUCGGAUCAUGAAAAAUCAAGAUCUCGGGUCAUGUAUCGAGUCAGGGUCAGAAGCGAGUUUUAGGGUUUAGAGUUGAGUCAGGAGUCGAUCACGAGUUGGGGUGCAUAUUCGGAUCUCAUUUCGGGUCAAGAAUCAAGAUCCCACUUCAAAUGUCGAGUUAGAAUCGAGUUUUAGGAUUUGGAGUUGGGUCAAAAGUUGAGUCACGAGUUAGGGUACAGAUAAGGUCCAACGUCGAUUCAUCAAGAAUCAGGAUCUCAAGACAUGAGUUGAGUCAGUGUUGGAAUUUAGAUUUUAGGGUUUGGAGGUGGGUCAAGAGUCGAGUCAUGAGUUGGGGUACAAAAUCGGGUACCAUGUCGAGUCAAAAAUUAAGAUCCCAGGUCAUGUGUAGAGUUAGGAUCGGAAGUCGGGACACGAGUCGAGGUAGAAAUCUAAUGUCAGGGUUGGGAGUGCAUUUUUGUACCUCAUAAAAUAAAUCCAUAUAGUUUUUAAAGAUUAUUAAUAUUUUUUAUGAUGAUUGAAGUUGAUAAGAGAUAACGUACAAUGCACGUUCAUAGAGACUAGUCUAUAAUCUAUAUCUAUAUCUAUAUCUAUAUCUAUAUCUAUAUCUAUAUCUAUAUCUAUAUAUAGGAAAAGUGUGAAGAUCCUUAGAAAAGUGAUUUGAACAUUUUGUCCUUCAUUAAAAGACUCUCCUUUAGACAAAACUGUCUUUUCACUAUUUUCUUCAAUUUAUUUUUUAAUUAUUUUUAUUAUAUUAACUAGACUCCUAAGAUAUAUGAGACUCUUAAAAUAUAUGGAAGGAGAAUCAAUUGAUAUUUUCCUUUGUACUGAUUAAUUAGAGAAAUACUCCUAAAAUAGGAUAAAAAAAUACUCCUAAAAUAAGAUUCUAUUAAGAAAAUACUUCUAUAAAUAUCGAGAUGCACGUUAAACUAGACAAAAACUGGUUUACUUAUUGUAAAAAUAUAAUUGAUGCUUAUUUGACUUGAUUCGGUUGCAUGUCUAGAUUGAUGGAUGCUUAAUUUUCUAACCCUCAACUUCUUCACUAUUUUUUUCAACAUAAUAGAUUCAACGUGUGUGCAUAUAUAUAUCUUCUUUGUUUUCAUUCAAGUCAUUUUUUAGUAUCAAAAUUUCAUUCAGACGAGAAUUAUUUUUAUCAAAACUGAUACUUUGUGAUUAUUAUUGUAUUAUUUUGUUGUACUUUACAGGUCGUAGAUGAUAAGUGGUAGAUGAAUGUCGGUCGGCUUUGGAAAUUUUUUUUAGGUAAAGGUUAGGUUUAAUUGUAUUAUUUUUAAAUCUCUGUUUUGAAAUUUUUUUUUGUGUAAAAGUAAAGUUUAGUUGUAUUAUUUUGAUAUCUCUAUUGUCGUAUUAUUUUGUUAUAGUUUACAUGUGGUAGAUGAGUGUCAAACAACUUUGAGGAAAUUUUUGUGUAAAUGUUAGAUUUAAUUAUAUUGUUUUGAUGUCUCUAUCGUCGUAUUGUUUUGUUGCAGUUUCAAGGUUAGAUUUAAUUAUAUUGUUUUGAUGUCUCUAUCAUCGUAUUGUUUUGUUGCAGUUUACAGGUGGUAAAUGACGAUCGACUUUGAGAAUUUUUUUGGUAAAGGUUAGGUUUAAUUAAAUAAAUUCUUCAAAAGAUGUUGAGUUUAAUUAUUGUAUUAAUUUUUAUUAUGUAAACAAAUAUUCUAUUUAAUGUAACGUUUGAACUCAAUAAAGUGAGUUACACGCGCGAGUCGCGUACACCUUAAAAAAUACGAAGCACCUUAGUGAACUAUUGUUCAACUUCUUUACUUUUUAAAAUAAAUUUUACAUUCAAUAAAAUUGUACUUAAAGGUACUCCAUUAAUAUUUAUGACUUUGAAAUAAUUACAAUUUUUAGUUAUCAAAUCAUUCUUUGAACUGUGAGUGAAAUCCUAAUAAUUAGGAGUUAAGACUUUAAAGUUAAUUAAAUUUUACCUUGUAUAAAUAAAAGUUUAGUAGUUGAUAAUUUUUCCUUUUACGUAAAUAUCCAAACUAGGAAUGUAAUAAUAACCAAACAAUUAUAGUUUAUAAUUUUCGUUUUACAUAGACACCCAAUAGGAAUGUAAAUAGGAACAUAUUAAUUGAAUCUAAUAAAACAUUUCAAGUUUCAUUAAAUAUACACUUUUCUGCAAAAUUAAAUAUUUUACUUAUUAUAUUUAUGUUAAUUUAUAUAUUUUCUUUCCUAAAAAAUGUACCUAUGUCAUCAAUAUGUAAUUGGUAUUUUGAUUGUCUAGAACAUUUUAAAUUUAAUUCUAAUUUAUUUUAUAAAAGAUAUUAGGUUUAGUUGAAUAAUGCUAUAUAACUACAAUUUCUUUCACGAUGUUCCUUGUUGUGUUAGGUCUAUUUUUAACAUGUACCCAUCGUAUCAUUAAGAAACUUGAAUCACAAGAAUGCUUAUGUAAUAACAUAGUGAUAUGAAAUGAUUUUCACGACGACAUUAUACAUGUAAAAUAAUAAAGAGUCAAUAGGUCUUCAAACAUGUAUUGAUCCUCAAAAUUUAAUUAUAACUUCUAGAAAUAAAUGAUGAACUUUAAAAAAUAAUCGAGAAAAAUAAAUUUCAAUAGAAAUAUUGAAAAGUGGGCUUUAAAAAUCAUUCAAAAAGUAAAUUGUAUUAUGUUUAUGAUUCAUAACAAUAAUAAAUCAAGCCAGGUGUCAAAUAAUUUCAAACAUUAAACCAUAUUUAUGACAACAUAAUCGCAUGUGGAUAACUAUAGGUUUUAUUUGUCAACUGAUUUUUGGAACGACGCUGUAUGAUGGUUAGGUUAUGAGUACCAUAUUGCCUUUUUUAUUUGGUUAAUUGGGUUUAAACCCAUACAAACUGACAAAAUAAACAAUAAAUACUUAUCAAUUCAAUAGAAUAUGUAUAUAUGAGGCCUUGAAAAAAAUUACAUGGAUAUAAAGUGUCUUAGUCAAAAGAUUCAUGCAGACACCUUUACACCAUAAUAUUAUUUUGUGAUAAUUAAGUGUUGCAACACCAAAAUUGUGUGAAAAAACACACACGAUUGAAUGAUUUUGUAUAUACUGUGCAUAAUUUUACAUGUGUCAUACGCUAAUUACGUGAAUGAUUGCAACAUCAAAAUUGUAUUACCAUAAGGCUCAAGCAAUAUGCAAAUCAAUCCUCGGGGACGUGAAUGUUAUGUGGGAUAGGGCGCCAGCUGCAUCACAGAAACUGCUAGAGAAGUGUUGGGUGUUUCGAGGGGUCGAGCAGGACGUCAUAAGAGGGAUUGGUGGUGGAAUGAUGAAGUGAAGAAGAAAGUGGAGUUUAAGAAGGGGGUGUAUGUUAAGUUGAUUGAGAGUAAAGAUGAAGAGGAGAAGCGGGUGAAUAGGGAGGUUUACAAAGUAGCAAGGAAGGAGGCUAAGUUAGCAUUACGACUGCUAAGUCGGCAGCAUUCGAGAGCUUGUAUGCGGGGUUAGAGGAGAAAGGCGGGGAAAAGAGGUUGUAUAGGCUUGCUAAGGCUAAGGAGCGGAAGGGUCGUGACCCCGAUCAAGUAAAAUGCAUUAAGGGGGAGGAUGGUAGUGUUUUGGUGGAGGAUGUUCACAUUAAGAAGAGAUGGCAGGAGUACUUUCAUAGACUUUUGAGUAAGGAGGGGGACAGAGGCAUUGAGUUAGGGAAGUUGGAGCACUCGGAGGAGAGCUGUGAUUUCAGUUAUUGUAGGCGUUUUAAGGUUGAGGAGGUCAGAGAGGCGAUUCGUAGGAUGUGGAGGGGUAGGACGACGGGGCCUGACGUGAUUUUAGUAGAUUUUUGGAAGUAUGUUGGUAUGACAGGUUUAAGGUGGUUGACUAAUCUAUUUAACGGCAUUUUCAAGACUGCAAGAAUGCCUGAGGCUUGGAGAUGGAGUUCGAUGAUUCCGUUGUAUAAAAACAAGGGUGACAUUCAGAGUUGCAACAACUAUAGGGGUAUUAAGCUGUUGAGUCACACUUAGGGCUGCAUAUCGGUCGGUUCGGUUCGAUUUUGAAAAUUAUCGAUUUUACUUGUUCAUUAUCGGUUUGUAUAUAUGCUAAACCAUUAAAGAACCAUUAAGAUAUCGGUUAAUCGGUUAUCGGUUUAUUGAUUUUUCAUUGUUAUUGGUUGGUUAUCGGGUGAACCGUUAACAAUAAUGUUUACUUCCUACGACCCUACUGCUUUAAUUAAAAUCGCAGUACAAAUAUAUGGUCAAAUCAUCUUUAACUGCAAAAUGAUGUUAUUCCGUAGAUACACACCAGAGGAGAACAAGUAAAACAAAGCUAACAAAAUCAACCUAACAACCUGGACUUGUUCAAACUAAAAGUUACAAUAUCACCAGGUUCAAGGUCAUUCAAGAAAAUUUUGUUUUUUCCUUUUCAGGGAGUAAUAAGAACUUAUAAGAAUUGUCCCGGAGAUGGCUUCUCCUAUGCAAAGUUAUAGGGGCCUAUAACGAUAUUUUUCAUUAAGCAGAAUCAGAGAGGCAAGAUUGGAAGAUGCAUAAAGAGACACAUUAAUUUGCUAUGUUAUGAAGGAUGUUGAUUAGCAUAAGAAAAGGUAACUGAACAGAAAUAAGUUAAUUUCUGAUUCUCAAACAGUGAAGAAGAUUUGACAUUUAAAAUAAUUUCUUGAUAACAGUGAUUGAGGCAUUGAGCAGUAAGAAUGAGAUAGUGUGAAUCGUCAUUACCUAUUGAGCGCAACAAAUCAUCUUUGGUGUGAGCUUGAAUACCUCUUCUUGGUGUGAAUACUAAGACGAGAGUGAGAGACGACUGACGAGGAGGCACUAAGAGAGUAAGAGGCAACUAGCGUCUGGAAAGAGUGUGUGUGAAUUGUGAAUUGUGAAUAAAGGAUAAACCCUAAGUGGCUAAUUCACUUAUUUCACUUUAGAAAGGGGUAUUAGGCUAUUGGCCAUUGGGAAUUAAUUGGGGCCUUUAGGCCAGACAGUAAUGGGAAUAAAAUAAAUGGGUUGAGUAGUGAGCACUAGAGUGUAAUAGUGUAUUAUUUAUUUAGGGUUAUCGGGCCACCCGAUAAAAAUAUUAAAUAAACCGAGGCCCAAACCAAUAAACCAAUUAUAAAAAUCUUAGAACUAAAACCCGACCCGACAGGUAAAAAAACUGAACCGUUAACUCGAUAAAUAUAUUAUCAGUUCGGGUUAACAGUUUGAACCAAAAUCUGUAUACCCCUAGUCACACUAUAAAGAUUUGGGAGAGAGUGGUUGAGCGGAGAUUGAGGAGGGUCGUGUCCGUUUUGGAGAAUCAGUUUGGAUUUAUGCCUGAUCACUCAAUGACAGAGAAAAUCCACCUGGUGAGGAAAUUGGUAGAGCAGUAUAGAGAAAUAAAGAGGGAUUUACACAUGGUGUUCAUCGACUUGAAAAAGGCAUAUGAUAAAGUCCCAAGGGAAGUUCUUUGGAGAUGUUUGGAGGUGAGAAGGGUCCCGAUAGCAUACAUCAGAGCUAUUAAGGACAUGUACGAUGGAGGAAAGACUCGGCUGAGGACAGUCAAAGGAGACUCAGAGUAUUUUUUGAUCAAGACAGGGUUGCAUCAGGGAUCGACUCUUAGUUCGUUCCUUUUUGCAUUGGUGUUAAACGUGUUGACGUGGAGUAUUUAGGGCGAGGGGGUGGGGGGGAGGGGGGAGGUGUAAAUGACAAAUUGGAGGUUUGGAGACAAACCCUUGAGUCUAAGGGGUUUAGGUUGAGUAGGUCCAAGACGGAGUAUUUGGAAUGCAAGUUUAGUGACUUCAGGCAGGAGGAUGAAGUGGUGGUGAGGUUGGACUCCCAAGAUGUUUGUAAGAGGGAUAGUUUUAAGUAUUUUGGGUCUAUGAUUCAGGAGAAUGGUGAGAUUAAUAAGGAUGUCUCUAAAUGUAUUAGAGCAGGUUGGAUGAAGUGGAGGCUCGUCUCGGGAGUGUUGUGUGAUAAAAAGGUGUCUCUUAAGCUUAAAGGAAAAUUCUAUAAAGUGGCAGUCCGUCCGGCCAUGUUGUAUGGAGCGAAGUAUUGACCAGUCAAGCACUCCCACAUUCAAAAAUUGAAGGUGGCAGAAUUGAGAAUAUUGUGUUGGAUGUGUGGGCUUACUAGAGGGGACAAAUUUAGGAAUGAUAUUAUUCGAGAGAAGGUGGGAGUGGCUUCAGUGAAGGACAAUAUGUGGGAAAGAAGGAUGAAAUAGUUUAGGCAUGUGAUGAGGAGGGGCGCGGAUGCCCCAGUUUAUAGGUGUGAGAGGCUAACUUUGGAUGGCUUCAGAAGGAGUAGAGGUAGGCCGAAGAAAUACCGAAGGGAGGUAAUUAGACAUGACAUGAAGCAGCUUCAGCUUACUAAGGACAUGACCCUAGAUAGAAAGGUAUGGACAUCGCAGAUAAGGGUAGAAGGCUAGUAUGAGUGUGUGGGUUGUAGCAAGAAGUCGGGAGAGAUCUUGUGUAGCUGGGUUAAUAAUCCUAGGAUUGUGUACAUAUAUGUCUUUGGUAUGUGAGCGUAUGUUACUACUAGGUGGGUGUCCUAUUUCUUAUUUCUUAGUUCCUAUUUUCUCUUUUUGUGUUGCCCUUAUUUCUCGUAUUUCGUAUUUCUCUGAUUUCUAUUUUAUUGUUUCUUAUUCCUUAUUUCUGUUAUGUCAUCCAUCCCCUUAUUUACUAUUCUUUAUCUUGAGCCGGGAGUCUAUCAGAAAUAGUCUCUCUACUUCUUCGAAGUUAGCGAUAUGGACUGCGUACAUCUUACCCUCUCCAAAUCCCACUUUGUGGGAAUACACUGGGUUUGUUGUUGUUGUUGACAGAGCAAUCCAAAUGGACAAAGAAAUAUAUAAUUGGAAUAACAUCUAUACAAAAAUAUCAUGCGAACACUCCAUUAUAUAUUUGUACCUCAUCUAUUCACCUUCAUAAUUUCAGAAAAUGUCUAAUAAUUUUGAUCUCCAUAAAAAACGUCCCUUCAUUUAGAAGAAAAUGGAGGUAUGAUAAAACUCCAGAGAUAUACUUGAUAAUACAAAGAGAAAAAAGAAAAGAUAGAAGAUUGAUCAAUGUAAAGAUUUAUGUAGAGUUAACCUAGCAAAUUGUUCCAUAGAGAAAUGGGCAUUUGAUCUUAUUAAUUACCUUUGUGUAUGAUUUUAAGAUUGGUCGCUCGAUCUCUUUAAAAAUAUUGAUCUAUGUGUAUGGGUCUUUGUGUAUGAUUUUAAGAUUGGUCGCUCUAACUCUUUAAAAAUAUUGAUAGAUGUGUGUGGGAUCCUCUAAAAGUAAUAGUUCAUAUUUCUUAAAGGAUUCGACAUAGAUACGACAAUGGUUUAGAAGUUUGAAGAGUCUGAGCAACAUCUAUAGAUCUCAGGUGUCCUGAAUAGUUCUCAAAUUCAAAAUUGUAAUGACCUCUCUAGUCGCUUUGUGAAAUUUAUUUGUCUUCCCUAUUUUAUUUCUUUCCAUAGUUUGUAUACGUCAAUUAUGACUUAGGAGAUAGGAAAUUCUUGAUUGGAAGUGAUUUAAGUCAUUACUUAGGUUCUUGAGUUUUAAUAAAGUUAAGCCUGAUCAUGGUCAAUCUUCAAUCAAGAUGACUCCGGAUUAGUCUUUUAGUGAUUCUAAUAGCUUCAGAAUGUAUUUUUUUUUAGUCAAUUUACAUAGUUAAUUUAUUUUUGUGAAACUCCAAACAAAUGUUGAGAAUUUAUUUAAAAGUUUUGGAAAUUUUGGAUAAUUAAUUUAAUUAGUAAUUUAAUGGGUCAAACUCACAGUUUACUUACUUAUGUGGUUAAUACAAAAAUAAACUUCAGUGAAAAGGGAUUUGGAAUUAAUAAUAACAAUAACACUAGAUAUAUGGAGCAAGGAGGGGGGAGGGCAUGACACUGCAGUGGUAUUCUUUUUUUUUUUUUUAUCUCUUCACAUCAUUGGAUUCGUGGAGAUCCCUACUCCGUACAAUUUCAGGUUCGUCUAUAAAUUUUGUAGAUUUAUUUUAUUCUUACUGUUACAGUGAUAUACCUAUAAUGGUGAGGGUGAAGAAAGAUCAACGGUGUCAACUAAUUAAGAGGAAUUUUGUAACUCGUGAUUUUAGAUUGGGUCACUGUAAUGUGAAUUAUUCACUUUUUUAAUUACGGAUAGAAAUUAAUGGGGUGUAUAAUGGUGCAGAUGAUUGGCAAUAAUGGUGUAGGUAAAGAGAAUGAGUGUUAUUUUGUCUUUAUUAAUAUUCCACUCAAGAAAUAUUUCAACUCCAUUAAUAAUAAUACUUUAAUAAUAAUUUUCAUGGAAAGACAACAGAGAAUGAAAUCAAAGAAAAACUACAUGCAUGGUACAUAAUUUGUAACAGUAUUCCAUAUUUAGCUUCAGGUUGGCAUAUUUUGCAUAUGAUUACCCACCGAUAUUUGACAAUCUUAGGUUUUAGGCCUAAAAUUCUUAGAGUAAGAAUUUAUAAAAUGGGUAUCAAUUAGUACUCUUAUGAGGAUUAUAUAUUUGGAUAUAUUUGAACCAUUCGAAAGUUUUACAAAAGGCCAAGGCCCUUGCAAAGUAGCUUGCAUCAAGGCUCUUCGAUUGAGGUAUUUUAUGAUUUAAUUGGAGUUUAGACUUGAUUUAAUUGUGAGUAUGAUCCUAAAUUAGAUGCUUGUUGAUUGAUCAUUGGACAUACUUGAAUUUGAUGAUAUUUGAACUAUUGACACUUUAUGAAUAACUAUUUAAAAUUGAACUUGAUCGAAUUGCCUUAUGAUUUUAAGUGCACUUGUAAAGUUUGUACGUUGUAUUAUAUCCUGAGAGAUAGUGUGAAGUUGGUAAAAGAUAUAUAAUAUGGUUAUGGAGGAUAGAGUACCAUACCGAUAUGAAUAUGGAUAUUGAUAUUACUUAUAUAUGGAGGAUCGAAUGCCAAGUCGGUACAGUGUAUGGACAUAGAUUAUCCCCUGAAGGUCAUGACUAGUUGGGUAAAAAUAAGUCCCAUAGCAUGUGUGUACAGAUUUGUGUUGAUUUUGAGAGGUUGUGUGGUGUAAUAAGCUAAUAACGAGCUAAUGACGUUCUAUUUGCAAGGUUUAUAAGGACAUAGUUGUUACUUAUGGUAUUAUUGUUGAUUUUGUGGAUGUUUAGAGUAUGGUUGAUACUCUUGAUAGUUAUAUGGCCUAUCCGUAACCAUUUUUUGGCCUAUCAUUAAUGCAUUUGUUGAUUCAUUGAAUGCUUGCUAUGUGUUGAUGUCUGUCUACUUAUUAUUUGAUUUAUGUCGUAUACAUGCUAUUAAAUUAUGAUUUAUGUCGUAUACAUCUAUUAAAUUAAGUUGGCUUAUGAUACCUACCAGUACAUAGUGGUUUGUACUGAUACUACAUUAUGAUCUUCUUUUGUUAAGUGCAGAAAGUGCAUCAGAGGCUCAGACAUGACCUUAUCUCUAGCGUUUAAUAGCAUAUCUCGAUCCAAGGAUGAGCACUCCAUCCCCAGGACGACAUGGAUCAUCAUAUUAGUUCUUGUCCAUCUUUCGCGCAAUGAGACAUCUUUAUUUUCUUUAUUCUGGAUAUCUCUUUUAGACAUAGUUUUUAUUUUAUAAGUUCUUGUACAAUGACUUUCAGAUCUUGGGGAUUUUUAUAAGUAACUUUUAUGAUUUUGGCAUUAGUAAUGAUUAGACUUGGAUCAUUUAUUCUUAAGUUGAUUCAUUCACUCGUCUUGCUACAUCAGAACUGUUCAACAGACACGUUAUAAUAAUCUUGUCUUAAUUUUUACUAAAUGAUUGGGUAAUAUUAGAUGUUUCUCCCAUAGAAAGAUUAGUGUGGGUUCCACUCAUGGCCAUUUGGAUCCUGACAAAGUUUGUAUCAGAGCCCUAAGUUUAUCAAUCUCGUCGUACAAGAACAUGUCUAGUAGAAUCUUGCAGAACGGUACGGAGACGUCUGUACAUUUUUUUAAGAGGCUACAAAACACUUGAAAAAUUCAAAUUCUUCUUUCUUACGUGCUAUUACUUGAUUUCAAUUGGUAUCUGGCGAUUUUAAUUAGUAUCUGACUUCUUUCAUUCUUAUUCUCGCAGAUGGUGAGAACACGAGCAAAUAGAUCAAGAGUUGAGGUACCAAACUGCCUAUUGAGGCUAUGAUUUAGGUUAGAGGACAGGCAAUGGAAAGAUGGGGUAGAGGAAUGAGAGACUCACCCACUAGGGACAGAGCUCGAGCCAUGAGACCAGCUAGGGAGAGGUCAAUAUCUUCUUCUCCAUAUGAGAAAAUGCCUGAGAUAGUAGAGGAUAGGGCGAUAGCAAAACAGAAUGAGGGGAUACUAGUUCAUGAUGCGAAGGGAUGCCGGUUCAUGAUACAAUCAUACCAGUUCAGGGAGGUGCAACUCUAAUUCAAAUAUCUUCUGAUGAUUUAGUAGAUUUUGAGAUUUUGAGUGGGUUGGCAAAAACCAAGACUAUGGUCGUAAUACUUACAGUUCAACAUCUGAAGAUGCAGCAUGCUACUGUUGUAGCUUAUUAAAUGGAAGAUAUAUUAGGGUUGGGUAUUUUUUGAGAUAGGUUAUGGGCCCAUCAAUGACUGGAGAUUAGCACGAUCUAUUUGUAAGUUUAUCAAGAUGAAACCUCUUAUUUUUCAUGGCACUGAGUCUGAGGAUGUCUAUGAGUUUAUUAUUGAUUGUCAUGAAAGACUUCAAAAGAUGGUGUAGUUGAGAGGUAUAUGUAGAAUCGGUCACUUUUCAGUUUCGGGGAGAUGCCAAGAUGUGGUGAAGAGCUUAUGUAGAAUAUUGGGCUACGGGAUUGCCUCCAUUGACUUGGACUCAUUUUUUUUAGAGAAGUAUGUGCCUCAUACAUUGAGAAACAGGAAAAGGAGUAAGUUCACUAAUCUUGUGCAAGGAAGUAUGUUAUUUUUCGCCUAUGAGGAAACUUUUUAUUCAUUAUCUCGAUAUUCAUUUCAGCUACUAAAAACUAAGGAGUGCAUCUAUCUCUUUGUGAAGGGUUUGAAUAUAGGUCUCCAGAUUUUUCCUCUUCAAAUGACAUCUCAGGUAAGUCUUUUUAGGAGAUGCUUGAUUUUGUUAAGAGGGUGGAGGGGGCAAGGCAAGAGGAUUAUGCCAAAACGGCAAGAAAGAAGGCCCACAAAUGGGGUAAUUUUAGUGGUUCUUAUUCUAGGGGUCAAAGUUCAUAGGGAUACCCAGUGCGCCCCAUUCAGUUAGCGAUAUAGGUGUUUGGUAGGGGUUCGUCAAGGGCUAAACAACCAUCCUUAAACAACCAUCCUUAGACUUUGGAGUUACCUCACUCCAUAUUUAUCAGCUCAGCGACCCACCUUGGAUUAUAUAUGUUAUGAGUGCAAUAGAGUUGGUCACAUCGGGAGGUACUGUCCUAAUUAGAGGUAAUAUAUUUAGUCGGCCAGUAGUAGGCUCCUCGAGCUCUAGUUCCAACAGGUAGAGAAGGUGGUGGCAAUGGUAGAGGUUGUCCACAAGGUAAGUGUGGUGGUCAUCAGGCAGGUAAGGGUGGUAAUCAACCCCAUCGAGGUGGUUCUCACCUUGGAAGGGAUGACACUCAGACUGUGGUAAGGCUCAUAUCUAUUCUCUUCCAGGCAUUCCUAAAGUAGAGACAUCAGACACUAUUAUUACAGGUACUAUUCUUGUCUGUGACUGGAUGGCCACUGUAUUAUUUGAUCCUGGUUCUAUUUUCUCAUAUAUAUUUGCCGAUAUUUUUGUGGGGUUGGACGAAGUGUGUGAUCUACUUGACUUUCCUAUUUACUUGUCUACCUCUAUUGGUGAUUCUGUCGUUCUUGAUAGGGUUUAUGAUUCUUGUUAUGUUAUGUUUAUGGGGUAUCAAACUUAGGCAGAUUGUAUGAUUCUAGACAUGGUAGAUUUUGACAUAAUUUUGGAGAUGAGUUAUUUGUCUUCAUAUUAUGCAAUAUUAGGCUGUCAUGCUAAAAUAGUGACUGUGGCUAUGCCGGAAAUAGAUAGACUUAAGUGGGUGGGUGAUUAUUGUCCUGCUCCAAUAAAACUUAUUUCCUUUUAUGCAUGUAAAGAGAUUAAUUGGAAAGGGUAGUUCAACCUUCCUAGCGCAUCUUCAAGACACUACUGCAGAGGUCCAAUUUAUUGAGUUAAUUCUAGUGGUUUGUGAGUUUCAAGAAGUGUUUCCUGCAGAUUGGCUUGGCAUGCCACCAGACCGUGACAUUGAUUUUUGUAUAGAUCUAGAGCUAGGUACUCGUCAUAUUUCUAUUCCGCCCUAUAAGAUGGCUCCAGCUGAGUUAAGAGAGCUAAAGUCUUAGCUGCAGGAUGUGUUAGGUAAGGGAUUUAUCCAUCUGAGUAUCUCUCCAUAGGGUGCUCCUAUCCUAUUUGUGAAGAAAAAGGAUGGUAGUCUUCAUAUGUGUAUAGACUAUAGGUAUUUGAACAAGGUUACAAUAUGUAACAAGUAUCAUUUACCCCAUAUCGAUGAUUUUUUUUACCAGUUACAGGGUGCAACCAUAUUUUUCAAGAUUGAUUUGAGAUUCGGGUAUCAUCAACUUAAGAUUUGGGUUGACGAUAUUCCUAAAACUGUAUUUCAAACCAACUAUGGGCAAUAUGAGUGUUUUGUGAUGUCUUUUGGUCUGAUUAAUGCCCCAACUACUUUUAUGAGUUUGAUAAAGAGGAUAUUCAAACCCUACUUAGCUUCUUUCAUGGUUGUCUUUAUUGAUGAUAUUCUGGUUUAUUCUAAGAGUAAAGAGGAACAUGAGAUUUAAUUAAGUAUUAUUUUGGGUUUGUUAAAAUAGAAAAAGCUUUACGUGAAGUUUUCUAAGUGUGAAUUCUUAUUGGCUUCUAUAUUCUUUUUGGGCAUAUGGUUUUGAAGAAAAGGGUAAUGGUAGACCCAUAGAAUAUUGAAGUGGUUAAGAAUUGGUCUAGGCCUACUUCAGUGAUGGAGGUUCAUAGCUUUGUGGGGUUACCAAGUUAUUAUCAUAGGUUCGUGAAAGGGUUUGCUUCUAUUGAUACUCAUAGAUGCGGCUGACUCAGAAGGAUGUACCUUUUUAUUUGGUCUGAUAAGUGUGGGGAAAGCUUUCAAAACCUCAAGAUCUUAUUGACUACUACUCUUAUUCUUGUCUUACCUAUAGAGGUAAGGACUUUAUGAUUUAUUGUGAUGCCUUACGUUAUGGUUAGGUGCUUUUUUUAUGUAGAAAAGGAAUGUGAUUGCUUAUGCUUCGAGACAAUUGAAUCCUAAUGAGAGGAAUUAUCCUACUCAUGAUUUGGAGUUGGUUGUUAUAGCUUUUAUUCUUAAGAUAUAGAGGCGUCAUUUUUACGGGGAUCGUUGUGAAGUGUUCACUAAUCAUUGUAGUUUACAGCAUGUUUCACACAAAUAUAUUUGAAUUUGAGUCAACUUAUAUGAAUAGAGUUUCUUAAGGUUUAUGAUAUCGUCAUUCUAUACCAUCCGAGAAAUGUUAAUAUGGUAAUUGAUACAUUGAGUAGAAAGUCAGCAAGGAUGGGUAGCUUGGCUUACUUAAAUGCCACCAGACAUCCAUUGGCCAAAGAGAUUUAGAGUCUAGAUAAAAAGGUUUAACGACUUAAGGUGAUUCAGAGAGGGGAUUUCUAGCCUAUAUAAAGGCAAGGUCCACAUUUAUUGAUCAAAUCAAGGCUAAAUAAUUUGAGGAUGAUAAGUUGAGGAAGAUUCAUUAUAAGUUUUACAGGGUGAAGCCAAGGAGGCCGUUAUUGAUAUCGAAGGUGUGUUGCAGAUAAAGGGGUGAGUUUGUGUGCCCCAUGUUGAUGAUUUGUUUCUACUAUUCUAGCUGAGGCUCAUUGUUUGAAGUAUUCUAUACAUCAUGGAGCGACUAAAAUGUACCGUGAUUGACAUAGCAUUACCAGUAGGGUUGAAUGAAGCAUGAUAUAGUUGAAAUUUUUGUUAAAUGCCAGAGUUUCCAAUAUAUAAAGUACAAGCAUCAGAAGUCUGGUGAUACUCUUUAGAGAGUGCCUAAUUACUGAAUUGAAAUGGGUGAGGAAAGCUAUGGAUUUCGUUGUUGGUUUUCCCAAGACAUUUAAUAAGCAUGAUGCUAUAUGGGUUAUUUUUUAGGGUUGACUAAGUCUGUAUAUUUUAUUCCAGUUUAGGUAACUUAUAAUGCAACAAAGUUGGUCAAGAUUUAUCUUAAAGAGAUUGUGUGGUUGCAUGGGGUCCCGAUUUCUAUUAUCUCAAAUAGGGGUACUCAAUUUACCUCUAUCUUUUGGGAGACAUUUUAAGAGAAGUUGGGUACUAGUUUGGACCUUAGUACAACUUUUCACCCUUAGCCCAAUGGGCAGUUCGAGCAAAUGGUUCAGGUGUUGGAGGAUAUUCUUCAUGCGUGUGUGAUGGAUUUUGGAGGUCAUUGGGAUUAGUUCUUACCUUUAACUAAGUUUGCAUAUAAUAAUAGUCAUCAUUCGAGUAUUGAUAUGACGUCGUUUGAGGCUUUGUAUGAGAGGAGGUGUAGAACUCCUAUUAGGUGGUUUGAUUUCUUUGAGGUAAGACCGUGGGUACUGAUCUGUUAAGAGACUCAUUUGAGAGGUUUAGGUUCAUUUAAGAUAAUCUUAUAGUGGCUCAAAGCAGGCAAAGGUAGUAUGCGAAAUGAAAGGUGUAAGAAAUACACUUCAUGGAGGGUGAGUAGGUGUUUCUUAAGGUUUCACCUAUGAAGGGUGUCAUGCAUUUUGGAAAGAGAUGUAAACUUAGUCCUAGAUGUAUUAGGACAUUUAAGAUUCUUUAGCUCGUGGGGCCGAUGGCCUAUAGAUUGGCAUUGCCUCCGAGUUUGUCGGGAGUUCAUCCCGUAUUUCAUGUAUCUAUGUUGAAGAAGUUUCAUGGUGAUGGUAACUAGAUAAUUCAUUGGGAUUCUAUCUUGUUAGAUAAGGACCUCUCUUACGAAAAGGAACCUAUUACUUUUCUUAAUAGAGACGUUUGUAAGCUCAGGACUAAGAAGAUUGUGUCUGUGAAGGUCCAGUGAAAGAAUCAUCCUAUUAAGGAGGCUACAUAGGAGACUGGAGCGGACGUGCGUGACAAGUAUCCAUAUUUUUAACUAAUUCAGGUAACUCCUUGUUUUCCUUCUUGUUUCUUGUUGCCCGUUUAGGAAUGAAGAUUGUUUAAUUGAUAUCCGAUGUAACGACCUCUCUAGUCAUUUUUGUGAAUUUUACUUGUCUUUUCUAUUUUAGCUCUCCACGUAGUUUAUAUACGUGAAUUAUGAUUUACGUGAUGAAAUGUAUCAAUUCUUGAGGUGUUCGAAAGCAAUUUAAGUCAUUACUUAAGUUCUUGAAUUUUAAUAAUGUUAAACUUGAUCAUGGCCAAUCUUCGGUCAAGAUGACCCCGGAUUAGUGUUUUAGUGAUUCCGAUAGAUUGGAAUGUACUUUUUAGUCAAUUUACAUAGUUAAUUGAUUUUUAUGGACUUCCAAAAAAUUAUGAGGAUUUAUUUAAAAGUUUCAAGUGUUUUAGAUAAUUAAUUUAAUUAGUAAUUUAAUGGUCCAAACUCACAGUUACUUAUUUGGUUAAUGCAAGAAUAAACUUCAGCGGAAAAGGGUUUGGAAAUAAUAAUAACAAUAACAUCAUAUAUUUGGGGCAAGAGGGGGCCAUGACAGUGCAGUGGUAUUCUCUCUUCUUUUUUUUCUUCACAUCAUAGGCUUCGUAAAGAUCGACUGCUCAGUACAAUUUUAGGUUUGUCUAUAAAUUUCAUAGAUUUAUUUUUUCUUAGUGUUACGGUGAUAUACCAAUAAUGGUGAGGGUGAACAAAGAUCAAUGGUGCCGAUUAAUUACGAGGAAGUUUGUAACUCGUGGUUUUAGAUUGGUUUAACUACAAUGUAAAUUAUUCACUGGUGGGUUUAAUUUUGGGUAGGAAUUAAUGGGGUAUAUAAUGGUGCCAAUGAUGGUCAAUAAUGGUGUAGGUAAAGAGAAUGAGUAUUAUUUUGUCUUUAUUAAUAUUCCACUCAAGAAAUAUUUCAACUCUAUUAAUAAUAAUAAUUUAAUAAUAUUUGCAUGAAAAAACAACAACAAAUGAAAUCAAAGAGAAACUGCACGCACGGUACAUAAUAUGAUUCAUUGUUGUAUGUUUAGCUCCGGGUUACCAUAUUUCGCAUAUGAUUAUCCAUCACUAUUUUGACAACCCUAGGUUUUAGGCCUAAAAUUCUUAGAGUAGGAAUUUAUAAAAUAGGUGUCAUUAAAUUAAUACUCUUAUGGGUUAUGUAUUUUGACAGAUCUAAACCAUUCGAAAGCUUUAUGGAAGGGCAAGGCCCUUGCAAAAUAGCUUGCAUUCAGGUCCUUCGGUUGAGGUAGGUUACAGUUUAAUUAUAGUUUAGACUCGAUAAUUGUGUGUAUGUUCCUAAAUUGGAUGCUUGUUGAUUGGGCUUUGGACAUACUUGAAUUUGAUGAUCUUUGAAUUGUUGAUACUUGUAUGAAUAAAUUUAAAUUCGAACUUGAUCAAAUUCCCAUAUGAUUUUAAGUGCACUUGUAAAUUUAGUAAAAUAUAUAUAAUAUGGUUAUGGAGGAUCGGGUACCACGCCGGUAUGAAUAUGGAUAUUGAUAUUACUUAUUUAUGAAGAAUUGGGUACCACGUCGAUACUGUACAUGGACUUAGAUUAUUUCCUGUAAGUCAUGAUUAGUUGGAAAAAAUAAGUCUUUAGCAUGUGUGUAUAGACUAGUGUUGAUUUUGAGAGAUUGUAUAGUGUAAUAACCUGAUAAAAAGCUAAUGACGUUCUAAUUAGGAGGUUUAGAAGGACAUAGUUGUUACUUAUGAUAUUAUUAUUGAUUAUGUGGGUGUUUAUAGUAUGAUUGAUACUUUUGGUGGUUACAUGUCUUAUUUGUAAGCAUUAUUUGGCCCAUUAUUGAUGUAUUUUUUGAUUCACUGAAUACUUGCUAUGUGUUGAUGCAUGUCUACUUGUUAUUCAAUUUAUGUUGUACACAGUUAUACCUACCAGUACAUAGUAGUUUGUACUGAUACUACCAUGUACUCUUCUUUUGUUGAGUGCAGAAAGUGUUCCAGACGCUCAAACAUAACCUCAUCUCUAGCGUUUGAUAGCAGAUCUCGAUCCAAGGGUGAGAACUCUAUCUGCAGGCUGACAUGGAU